GACGAACGCUGGCGGCGUGCUUAACACGUGCAAGUCGAACGGAAAGGCCCUGCUUUUGUGGGGUGCUCGAGUGGCGAACGGGUGAGUAACACGUGAGUAACCUGCCCUUGACUUUGGGAUAACUUCAGGAAACUGGGGCUAAUACCGGAUAGGAGCUCCUGCUGCAUGGUGGGGGUUGGAAAGUUUCGGCGGUUGGGGAUGGACUCGCGGCUUAUCAGCUUGUUGGUGGGGUAGUGGCUUACCAAGGCUUUGACGGGUAGCCGGCCUGAGAGGGUGACCGGCCACAUUGGGACUGAGAUACGGCCCAGACUCCUACGGGAGGCAGCAGUGGGGAAUAUUGCACAAUGGGCGGAAGCCUGAUGCAGCAACGCCGCGUGCGGGAUGACGGCCUUCGGGUUGUAAACCGCUUUCGCCUGUGACGAAGCGUGAGUGACGGUAAUGGGUAAAGAAGCACCAGCUAACUACGUG
rnacentral:rRNA from 1 species